ACGUCUGAUGACCUAUUCCUGAGCAGGUGUUUAACUUUCUAGCGGGUUUCCUUCACAUAACGUUGUUGGACCAAUAGGGCAAAACUUAUCAACACGUAGCACCUGUUGAGAAUAUUCUUUCAUCUUCCCAGGUGAUCUGUUUUUAUUACCAAAGUACUUGAGGAGAAGCCUUUCUCUACCGUGGGUCACAUUUCAUCUGCCA